AUUGAACGCUGGCGGCAGGCCUAACACAUGCAAGUCGAACGGUAACAGGAAACAGCUUGCUGUUUCGCUGACGAGUGGCGGACGGGUGAGUAAUGUCUGGGAAACUGCCUGAUGGAGGGGGAUAACUACUGGAAACGGUAGCUAAUACCGCAUAACGUCGCAAGACCAAAGAGGGGGACCCUCGGGCCUCUUGCCAUCGGAUGUGCCCAGAUGGGAUUAGCUUGUUGGUGGGGUAACGGCUCACCAAGGCGACGAUCCCUAGCUGGUCUGAGAGGAUGACCAGCCACACUGGAACUGAGACACGGUCCAGACUCCUACGGGAGGCAGCAGUGGGGAAUAUUGCACAAUGGGCGCAAGCCUGAUGCAGCCAUGCCGCGUGUAUGAAGAAGGCCUUCGGGUUGUAAAGUACUUUCAGCGGGGAGGAAGGGAGUAAAGUUAGUACCUUUGCUCAUUGACGUUACCCGCAGAAGAAGCACCGGCUAACUCCAUG
rnacentral:rRNA from 1 species